rnacentral:rRNA from 1 species
UACGUAGGGUGCGAGCGUUGUCCGGAAUUAUUGGGCGUAAAGGGCUCGUAGGCGGUUUGUCGCGUCGGGAGUGAAAUCCACUGGCUUAACUGGUGGCUUGCUUUCGAUACGGGCAGACUGGAGGUAUGCAGGGGAGAACGGAAUUCCUGGUGUAGCGGUGAAAUGCGCAGAUAUCAGGAGGAACACCGAUGGCGAAGGCAGCUCGCUGGGACGGUACUGACGCUGAGACGCGAAAGCGUGGGGAGCGAACAGG